CAUAUUGGCAUUAGGCUUUACAUUUGUUUCACCAUGCUAUCAUUUUGGUUUUCUCCUGGUCAACUAAAGCUGAUCGACACAGUAGAGAAUUUUUAAGCGAUCUAAAUGAUGACCAACUAGAAGAACAACUGAUUAGAUCGAGCCAAAGGCUUGAAGAACUCAACAAAGAGAUUCUGCAGAUGGAAGAUAAGUUAGAAGAGAAAGGAAAAUCUGUUUUGCACUUACAGCAGAAGUCCAAGGUAAAUUGUAUUCUUCUUGCUUGAGUUAUAUAAUUUUACUUUUUCGAUAAUUAUUCUUUUCACCACUUCCGUUUUCACAUUAUCAGCAAGUGGCUUUCAUUUCCCCGUAAUAUUUUGAUGAUUGAUGCAGAAAUUGGAAGACUCUUUGAUUAAUGCAAAGAAAACCUCAUCAUACAAUAAGACACA